UAAUAGGAAUGCUAAUUUAUUUGAUUUAAUAAGAUUGUUAAAUUACUUUUGUAAUUGAACUGAAAAAAUAAAAAAAGAAUAUAAAGAGGGUUUAUUUGAAAGAAUCGAAAUCAUUUACUUACACCCAACAGAAUGUCUUAGACCAAACAACACCCUGCAGAUACAUAGAACCUUUUUAUAACAAAAAGAAGAAGCCUAUUUACUUAGACCAGAGAUUUCUUUGCCUCAUGACUUUCUUUGUCUUGCAUUGCUAUGAGUGGUGUGCUAUCCUUCUCCUUCAUCUGAAACAAGAUGUGGUGAUUUUCAAUUCACAUGUAUUUUAGGGUUUGUUUGGAUCGGUGAGAAAAUGAUAAGUAAUGAAAAAGCAAGAAAGAAUAAAAAAAAGAAAGGGUUAAAAAGACAAGGUGAAUUAUGGAAAGUUAAUAAAAAGUAAUAUAUAUUUUUUUUUAUGUUUGAAAAGAAAUAAAGAAAGAAUAAAUUUAAGAGGUGUAGAAAUAAAAAUAGUCAUGACUCUCGUAUCUUCCUCCUAAUCCCUCGUUAACUUAUUUACUCCUCUUCAAUCUCAUCUAAAUAGAGCCCUAAAUGUAAAUUUAUUCGAUAAUUAAGAGAGAGAGGAGAGAGGGAGGAGUACCUGAGGUCCCAAUGAGAGGUCAACAGAUUGUUUCUUCUUGUUCUCUUGGGAGCAGAAGUAAGAGUACAAGCCCAUACCAAAGAUGGCAACUAGUAUUCCAAUGAUAUUUCUGACAGCGAAAGGGUCAUGUAAAAGGGUAUACCCAAAUGCAAGAACAAGGCAAGUCU
rnacentral:misc_RNA from 1 species